rnacentral:rRNA from 1 species
UACGUAGGGUGCGAGCGUUAAUCGGAAUUACUGGGCGUAAAGCGUGCGCAGGCGGUUUUGUAAGACAGGCGUGAAAUCCCCGGGCUCAACCUGGGAAUGGCGCUUGUGACUGCAAAGCUGGAGUGCGGCAGAGGGGAUGGAAUUCCGCGUGUAGCAGUGAAAUGCGUAGAGAUGCGGAGGAACACCGAUGGCGAAGGCAGCCCCCUGGGCUAACACUGACGCUCAGGCACGAAAGCGUGGGGAGCAAACAGG